UUGCAUGUGGAAAUGUCUACUCCUCAUUUGUUUGUGAGCAGGAAUACAUUCAUGGCAUGCUACAUUAAAAAAGGAGUUCUCAGGGCUGCCAACCUUACAGUAGAGGUUGAGUGAUAGUAUAUUUCUCCUACUGAA
rnacentral:snoRNA from 1 species